UACGUAGGGUGCGAGCGUUGUCCGGAAUUAUUGGGCGUAAAGAGCUCGUAGGCGGUCUGUCGCGCCGAUCGUGAAAACUUGGGGCUUAACCCUGAGCUUGCGGUCGAUACGGGCAUGACUGGAGUUCGGCAGGGGAGACUGGAAUUUUCGGUGUAGCGGUGAAAUGCGUAGAUAUCGAGAGGAACACCUGCGGCGAAGGCGGGUUGCUGGGCUGACACUGACGCUGAGGCGCGAAAGCCAGGGGAGCGAACGGG
rnacentral:rRNA from 1 species